CGGCACUUGAUACUGAGCUGUGUCCUAGCCUUGUGCUGCGGGCAUGUGCUGUGUGCAGGUAACGAGGCUGAAGAAGUGCAGUAGUAAAGCAGAACCCUGAGUCUUUAAGCCCAGUGUGUCAGGACACACUGAGUUAUGAAUCAGUGGCAUAACU